AGGCUGCCUGACCCCCAGAGGACCCAUGUGAUGUGGGCAACCAGCAAGGACUUCGGGAUGUCUGGGCUCCGCUUUGGCACGCUGUACACAGAAAACCAGGAUGUGGCCACUGCCGUGGCUUCCCUCUGCCGCUACCAUGGCCUCAGUGGCUUGGUCCAGUACCAGAUGGCACAGCUGCUCCGGGACCGUGACUGGAUCAACCAGGUGUACCUGCCGGAAAACCAUGCCCGGCUCAAGGCUGCCCACACCUAUGUCUCAGAAGAGCUCAGGGCGUUGGGGAUCCCCUUCUUGAGUCGUGGGGCUGGCUUCUUCAUCUGGGUUGACUUGAGAAAGGGAUGCAGAGGGUCCGGCAGGUGCUUGCAGGCAAAUCCCAAGUGGCAGAAGACCCCCGUCCCUCUCAGAGCCAGGAGCCAAGUGACCAACACAGGUGAGCUGGUCAUUGUCUCGUGGCCGGAGGGCCCAGCAGCCACUGUGGACCUGGGGCGUUCUGGGGCUGCAGAAGACUGACUGUGGAUGUGCCAUUUGCCAGGAA
rnacentral:sRNA from 1 species